rnacentral:rRNA from 1 species
CCUACGGGUGGCAGCAGUGAGGAAUAUUGGUCAAUGGCCGCAAGGCUGAACCAGCCAUGCCGCGUGAAGGUCAGUGCCCUAUGGGCGUUAAACUUCUUUUGUUCGGGAGCAAUAAUGGUCACGUGUGGCCAGACGAUAGUACCGUUCGAAUCAGCAUCGGCUAACUCCGUGCCAGCAGCCGCGGUAAUACGGGGGAUGCCAGCGUUAUCGCGAUUUAUUGGGUUUAAAGGGUGCGUAGGCUGUGAGGUAAGUCAGCGGUGAAAUGCCCCCGCGCAACGGGGGGAAGUGCCAUUGAUACUGCCUGGCUGGAAUGCGGAUGCCGUGGGAGGAAUGUGUGGUGUAGCGGUGAAAUGCAUAGAUAUCACACAGAACACCGAUUGCGAAGGCAUCUCACGAAGCCGCGAUUGACGCUGAUGCACGAAAGCGUGGGUAUCAAACAGGAUUAGAUACCCUAGUAGUC